GCAGGAUUCGAACCUGCGCGGGGAGACCCCAAUGGAUUUCUAGUCCAUCGCCUUAACCACUCGGCCACGACUACGCAUGCUACCGUUGCCCUUCCCGGCUUGUGAUGAGUACUGCGCACGGUUGGGCACUUGGGCCCGUCUGCCUCACGGGGCUCAGCGGAAAGUUCAAAAUAGAGGUCAGCUGAGACGGAAAGCACAGCGCUUGUAUCCUCCUGUUGCCAAGCUGGCUCUAAAUUUCCCAGCCUGUGAUGAGGUGGGGUCUGCUGUCCUUAAGAGCUCCAAGCAAAGCCUCUCGGUAUCAAGGUCGCUGUUAAUACCCUGCCCGAUCCAUGGCAGUGCUGCUGGGGAAGAUGUGUUGGGUGGAAAGGUUGUGAGCCUUUGUUGGGUUGAUGUGAUGGAAGAAACUAAAUAGCAUUGAUGCUGCUCCAGCCCUUUAAAGUGGUCCCUUGGCCAGGACUCUGUGUCAUGAAGAGAGGACAGAAAGCUGGAAGGCUGUCCUGGGUGGAAGCUAUAAUGUUCUCUAAUCUUCAAGCUACUGAAAGCUUUCUCAGUGAUAAAACGGGAUUUUGCCACAACAGUGAAGAAGACAAAAAAAAUUUUCAAGGGCAGGAUGGGCCAGAGAAAAAAGAGAAAAAUUUCUCUUUUCUCUGGGAACCAAAGUGAGCUUAAAUUGAAGUUGACCAGAACUCUUCUCAGCCUUCUUCUCUGAACAAUGAACUCUUGGGGGCUCAGGAAAUGGUAAGAGGUCAGCAGAGCCAGGUAAUACCAAAGUAAUUUCUGAGUGCUACCCAUUGCCAGACAAGAGGGAAAUGAUUGCAGGGAGACACUCUUCUUCUUGAUAUGGUGAUAGCGUGUUGCAGGCCUUUCUGCCUUCCAAUCUCUUGCCCCAGAAGUUGAGAUGGAGGUAAUGCAGUGACUGCCUCUCCCCAAGGUGUUUUGCUUGGGGAAACACAAGUUGUAGAACUUUACAACUCGUUGCUCUCAGCUGCAGGAUAUUACUCUAUUAUCCUGUUCCUCAUCACAAUCCAGUAUAACAUCAUUUUGAGUGACAUUGCUUAUUUCUUAUUAGUAGUACCGUGCAUCAACAUGAGAAAAUUCAGGGCUAAAUCUAGGUUUUUUGGCUGUAUAUUUAAUCACUAGCAAGCAUUCCUGUGAAUGAAAUUUUUCUAUGAAAGAUACCAGAUUGGGAGAGAGCUUCUUGAAAGACCUCUUGGCAGCAAAACUAUCAGUAUGUGCAAGAUUCCUCAUAUAACGCUGGCUUGUGACGUUGAGAGACAGCCUUGGAUCAAAGGACAGUUUAAGCUGGAGGCUAUCCCAGCCUUGGAUUUCACUGUCAAUCCUUCCAUUGAAGGUGCCAGCUCAGAGGGUGGAUUUUCAGUUCAGUUUGCUGGCCCAGCUGCCUUACCCAUGAGGGGCAUGAGGACUGGAAAAACUUCCAACCUUCCUCUCAAUUAAUAGCUCUCAAGGUUGGAGUAUGUAAGCAGCCACCACCUGUUGCCUGGGCUACACAGUUCUCUUGUAAAGGAAACUGUGAAGAGCAGGUAAGUGUCCAGAAUGGCAAUCUUAGCCCUUGCUGUGAGGGGUCAACUUACUUUUGGAUGUUUGUAAACAUAGAUGCUCAUUUUCAAAUGAGUGUGACAUGGUACUUACCAAGAGAAGCAGAAGAUUUUUCAGGACAGUAUACAAACCAGAAAAAAUACUUGUCUGGGGGCCUCUUAAUGAAUGUGGCAUAAUCCUCAAAGCAUGUUAUAACCGUGACAUUUCGAUCUCUGUGAGGGCAUAGCAAACACUGGAAAGUCAUUUCUGAAAAAAAAACUGUCAGCUUGUAAGGAUGUGUAACAAGGCGGUCACACUUCCAAAUCAAUGAUAAUUAUGUGUAACUUCAAAUAAAAAUGGUGUUGCCAGGCACUGUGCAGCUUUACUGUACCGGCAUUCUCUGGCACCCAUGGUGUCAGUCCCUGUAAAGUGGAGCAGAGGGAGGCACAUGGUGAUAAAGCAGGUCCUGCCGAGAACAUAUCACAAGGUAAAAAUGUUUCUAUUUAACAGAUAGAAAUAAUAAGUGGUAGUAAAUAUAAGAUAAUUGGCCUGUCAGGAAGGACCUAGUCAAUGAGAACGUGAGUAGGAAGGAGAAAGAAUCAAGCACAGAGGGCUGGGGACUACUGUGGAAAAAUUCUUCCUGCUUGCUGCCCGUUGCACAGCUAUGGUGAGAGACAACAUCAUGUAAAACCAGCUUAGCUGAGGGAGCUGAAACCAAAGCAGAGAUAAUGUUCCAU